rnacentral:lncRNA from 1 species
CAUUCACGGACACCGAUCGGGAUCCUAUCCCGGACAAGGUACCCUAAGUGGUAGACGAAGGCCCUUGAAUGGGCUCCAAGUGGCUUGCCUAUUGCUUCCUCGAAUUCUGAGAUUACUAACCGGCCCUCCAUAGGCUUCUUUUCGCCUCGUACUCUCCGGCUGGUCCCCGUGGUUGUCGUCGAGCUAGAGGGCUAUGUAGAAAGAAACAAGACAAUUUAAUACAAGAUAUUAUUUCAAAUUAUAUCUGUAAAAACAAAGGAGACUGCCAUAUUAUAGACCUGCUGGCCAGCAUUGUCUUGCUCAUUCGGGUCGACCAAAUACUGAGAGUAGUCAUCGAUGCCCUCAGGGUUCUCAUCGCCUUCGUGAUCAUCGUGAUAAACUUCUUCAGUGGGACCGCAGAUCAGGUUCAUCAUUUCCUCUUCGUGUUCUUUCGGAUCGACCAUUUCUGCAGAAAUAUGUGACACAUGACUACUAGCACUACUGUAUAUACCUAACAAGGAAACAAUAUAUAAAACUAGGGUUUAGGGUUUAGGGUUUAGGGGUUAGGGUUUAGGGCUUAGGGCUUAGGGCUUAGGUUUAGGGUUUAGAGUAUAUCAUUUGCUAACAAUUAAAUAUAUCAUAAUUGUACCACUAAUUUAUACCACUAAUUGUACCGCUAAUUAUAGCACUAAUUGUACCACUAAUAGUAAGUGAACAUCACAUCGCAUAUAUAUUGUGUGAACAUCACUAAAUACAUCACAAAACACUAUGUAUACUAUGUG